UCAAUAUAAGAUUAAAACAUUACAUUAUCUGAUAAACUCAUGCAUUUAAAGUUAUAUUCUUCAAGAAUCAUUGAGCCAAGCCUAUGUUCUUAAAUUAAGUCCAAAAAUGUAUCGCAGAUACUGACAGGAAUAGCCGAAAUCGAAAGUGUAGUUUAGGAGAAAUGAUAGUGGCAGUUUAGCCGGUUCAGCUCUCGUUAUUUUUCCUUAGAGCUGACAACUCGAAGGGACGCUUUUCGGCUACAAGAAAACACGAAUAAAUCGGUAAACUUUGAUUAAAUAAUAUUUAUAGUCUAGCCUACAUUCGAUUUUCUUGUGUUGUUCUAUUGACUAAAGAAACUAGAAACACUUUGAUUUGAUUUGAAAGCCCCAUUACAUUCUUUCAUUAGCCUGGCAAUGGAAGUGGAAACAUUCUGGUGUUGUAAAUCUUGAGGAUGUGUAUGUCAUAUAACCUAAAGUUAUUUUUAAUAAAUUCUUACAUUUCAAUCUACAGGUCAUUUAGUGGGUGCUUUAUGGCGUUUAUUCGGACUACUUUAAACAAUGGAGCUGAACAUUUCAACAAACUUCACACCCCAGGACCAGAACACCAUGGCCUGUAUAAUCAAGGGGCAACAUGUUAUUUGAACAGUGUGCUGCAGGUCCUCUUCAUGACUAAGGAAUUCAGAGAGGCUGUAGAAAGUAAUAGGCCUAUUCAAGAAGAAGACACUGUUGAUCUUCAGCUGAAAAAGUUGUUUACAACUUUACAUGAAAUUGAAACUAACACAAAGGGCAUCUCAUCAAUACUGGGCAUUGAUGAUGUAUACGAGCAACGUGAUGCGGCCGAGUAUUUUUAGAAGAUUUUAAGCAUGGUCAAUCCUGAAGUGUCAAAGGUAGGCUAGUGCAU